ACGUGCUCCACAAUGAAGAAAGAUGGUCAGACAUUUUACUUUGCCUUUUACUAAGUGAAGAUGUGAAAGUUAGAUGGUCCUGUGGCGUUCACAUCUUUAAUCAGUCUUACUUGGAACUCAGUAUAUAUAAAGGAUCCGAUCAGAGAUGUCUUGUUUGAAAUGGGGGUAAGGACCUGCAGGCAUUGCGCCUGUAUGGCCUUCCUGCUGAACCCCUGCGGUGGCCUUGGGCAUUUCCUCGGACACCAGAGGCUUCUGGAAAUCACAACUGGGAAACCUCCACCUGAAUGUCUCUUCUUAUUGAUGAGUUACCCGAGGAGUUCCCAAGGCUGCAGAGCUCAGCAGGGGCAGAGCUGCCGGCAAAGCCCAGCUCCCCUGACGCUCCACCAGAUUCUGGCUCCCUGGCCCCGCCCCAGCGUGCUGCCUCUGCACGUCAGUUAGCGCCUGCAACACCGCACUUAAUGAGGACAAACAAAUGUGCUCAUCGCAUUGAGUUCAAGUGCGAAUGAUGUGAUCUUUCUGCUCCUGCUUAGCAAUCCCUUCUCUGGAAAGAUCUAGGGCAGACACCGCAGAGCUUUAAACAUCGACUUCCAGAGAGCAGAGCAGGCGCUACCAAGACCUUUUCUGAGGGCUCAAACCAGACAGAUGGAGUAAGCGGCCAUGAAGUAAUACUAACUUACAAUUACUGCUCUGUAUUUUUAAGUUAAUAAAUAAAUAAUUCU
rnacentral:lncRNA from 1 species